GUAGCAUUGUCAGGAGACAAACAAGAAAUAACCACGGGUCAAUUCGGUAGCAAGCAUUGAGAAUAACAUUAAUAGGAAUAAUUAUUUUAAUCAUAAAUAAUAAUAGUAGUACUAAUAAUAAUAAUAAUAAUAGUUACAUUUAUACAAGCUAGAAAUGUCAUGUCUUUUGCAGUAAAAUAAUUGUUGAACACGUCACACACAGGUCCUGGUCAGUCUUCAGCCCCUCUCUGCUAGUCUGUAACCCAGACCUGUUUUGUGCUGACAUUCCACUUCCUGUACUCCUUGUCAUAUGCCAAACAUGGAUUGGAAUGAUAGCAAAAACAGCUCAGAGUGGAGAACGUAGAAUCAUCUAGACUAGAAGUGGAUUAGGCAACCUUGGUCCUGGAGUGGUGCAGGUGCUUCAGGUUUUUGAGUUUUCCUGUUUUGCUUUAGACCUGGGAGACCAGGUAUCUGGAAUUCAGCCACUCACUGACAGUUAUCCAUUAGCUCACUUGAUGAGGGGAUUAGUAGAAUCAGGUGUGGUGAUUGGUUGGAACUAAACCCUGCAGUUCUCCAGGACCAGGGUUAACUACCGCAUGAUCUCUACAAUCGUCUUUGAUUCCGCUGAGUUGAUUUCAGUUCAGCUAGUAGUUCUCUUUAGCCCCAGUUAGCAGUCAGCGAGUCUAUUUAGCCCCAGUUAGCAGUCAGCUAGUAGUUCUCUAUAGCCCCAGUUACCAGUCAGCUAGUCUAUUUAGCCCCAGUUAGCAGUCAGCUAGUCUAUUUAGCCCCAGUUACCAGUCAGCUAAUAGUUCUCUAUAGCCCCAGUUAGCAGUCAGCUAGUAGUUCUCUAUAGCCCCAGUUACCAGUCAGCUAGUCUACUUAGCCCCAGUUAGCAGUCAGCUAGUAGUUCUCUUUAGCCCCAGUUAGCAGUCAGCCAGUAGUUCUCUUUAGCCCCAGUUAGCAGUCAGAUAGUAGUUCUCUAUAGCCCCAGUUAGCAGUCAGCUAGUAGUUCUCUAUAGCCCCAGUUAGCAGUCAGCUAGUAGUUCUCUUUAGCCCCAGUUAGCAGUCAGAUAGUAGUUCUCUAUAGCCCCAGUUACCAGUCAGCUAGUCUAUUUAGCCCCAGUUACCAGUCAGCUAGUAGUUCUCUAUAGCCCCAGUUACCAGUCAGCUAGUAGUUCUCUUUAGCCCUAGUUAGCAGUCAGCCAGUAGUUCUCUUUAGCCCCAGUUAGCAGUCAGAUAGUAGUUCUCUAUAGCCCCAGUUACCAGUCAACUAGUCUAUUUAGCCCCAGUUACCAGUCAGCUAGUAGUUCUCUAUAGCCCCAGUUACCAGUCAGCUAGUCUAUUUAGCCCCAGUUACCAGUCAGCUAGUAGUUCUCUAUAGCCCCAGUUACCAGUCAGAUAGUAGUUCUCUAUAGCCCCAGUUACCAGUCAGCUAGUAGUUCUCUAUAGCCCCAGUUAGCAGUCAGAUAGUAGUUCUAUUUAGCCCCAGUUAGCAGUCAGCUAGUAGUUCUCUAUAGCCCCAGUUACCAGUCAGCUAGUCUAUUUAGCCCCAGUUAGCAGUCAGCUAGUAGUUCUCUAUAGCCCCAGUUACCAGUCAGCUAUUCUAUUUAGCCCCAGUUAGCAGUCAGCUAGUAGUUCUCUAUAGCCCCAGUUACCAGUCAGCUAGUCUAUUUAGCCCCAGUUACCAGUCAGCUAGUCUAUUUAGCCCCAGUUACCAGUCAGCUAGUCUAUUUAGCCCCACUUAGCAAUCAGCUAGCAGUUCUCUUUAGCCCCAGUUAGGAGUCCCAGCUAGUUUAGCCAAACUAGCAUGCUGAGCUAACAUAGUCUCUGAGAACUCAGAGAAUAGAAUAAUACAGAAUCUUCUAGAAGAAUAUUCUAGUUUUGCAAUCCAGUUCAGUUUAGCUAGUCUUACAUCACUUUCGUUUAGCUAGCUAGUUAUGUUAAGCCUCAGAAGUCGCCGCUAGUUUGACCAAACUAAUUGUAAUUAGCUCUGGUCUCAGUUGAACAGUGACGAGAAGAGAGGAGGGAAUCUUUCAGAAUUGUCCAGCUUCACAGCUCAGGUCAGCUUUGGGCUAAACGGUUUUAGCUAACAGCUCAGUUGAGUUCAGUCGAGAUAGUAGUCAGAGUUUAGCGAACUUUACCUUCAGCUAGCAGCCGGGGGAGCUAACGGGGGAGCUAACAGGGGGAUAACACUUAUUACAUUG
rnacentral:lncRNA from 1 species